rnacentral:rRNA from 1 species
GUGAAAUUGUUGAAAGGGAAACGCUUGAAACCAGUCAUGUGGUUGGAAAAUCAGUGUUCAAUUGGGGGGAAUGGGGGAGGUGUGGACCGCAAGGCUGCUCUUUUCUAUAUCUCUUUUGUUGGGCAUGCACUUUUUCUUCUGCAGGUCAACAUCAGUUUCUUUUGCUGGACAAAACUCUUGAGAAGGUAGCAGCUUAGGCUGUGUUAUAGCUCUGGAGCGAUACAGUGGAGGAGACUGAGGUUUUCGCAGCAUGUGCUCUCGGGCAAGGCCAGUUGGAUGCUAUGGGAUCGUUCGGGGUACAAUACAUGUAUUUUGCCUCGUGUCUUUUCUAUACUCGUUCAGUUGUGCUCUUCCAUGCUUAGGAUGUUGACUUAAUGGUUUUAAUCGACCCGUCUUGAAACACGGACCAAGGAGUCUAACAUAUAUGCAAGUGUUUGGGUGGCAAACCCAUGCGCGUAAUGAAAGUGAACGUAGGUGCCAUCCGCAAGGUGCAGCAUCGACCGAUCUUGAUAUUUUUGGAUAGAUUUGAGUAAGAGCAUAUAUGCUGGGACCCGAAAGAUGGUGAACUAUGCCUGAAUAGGGUGAAGCCAGAGGAAACUCUGGUGGAGGCUCGUAGCGAUUCUGACGUGCAAAUCGAUCGUCAAAUUUGGGUAUAGGGGCGAAAGACUAAUCCAACCAUCUAGUAGCUGGUUCCUGCCGAAGUUUCCCUCAGGAUAG